rnacentral:misc_RNA from 1 species
UACAGAGGGUGCGAGCGUUAAUCGGAUUUACUGGGCGUAAAGCGUGCGUAGGCGGUCUGUCAAGUCGGAUGUGAAAUCCCCGGGCUCAACCUGGGAAUUGCAUUCGAUACUGGGAAGCUAGAGUAUGGGAGAGGAUGGUAGAAUUCCAGGUGUAGCGGUGAAAUGCGUAGAGAUCUGGAGGAAUACCGAUGGCGAAGGCAGCAAUCUGGCCCAAUACUGACGCUGAGGUACGAAAGCAUGGGGAGCAAACAGG